rnacentral:rRNA from 1 species
CAGCAGCCGCCACGGGAAUACAGAGGGUGCAAGCGUUAAUCGGAAUUACUGGGCGUAAAGCGUGCGUAGGCGGCUUCUUAAGUCGGAUGUGAAAUCCCUGAGCUUAACUUAGGAAUUGCAUUCGAUACUGGGAAGCUAGAGUAUGGGAGAGGAUGGUAGAAUUCCAGGUGUAGCGGUGAAAUGCGUAGAGAUCUGGAGGAAUACCGAUGGCGAAGGCAGCCAUCUGGCCUAAUACUGACGCUGAGGUACGAAAGCAUGGGGAGCAAACAGGAUUAGAUACCCCGGUAGUCCCUGUCUCUUAUAC